AGUUUGAUCAUGGCUCAGAGUGAACGCUGGCGGCAGGCCUAAUACAUGCAAGUCGAACGGCAGCACAGCAGAGCUUGCUCUGGUGGGUGGCGAGUGGCGGACGGGUGAGGAAUACAUGGGAAUCUGCCCAGUCGUGGGGAUAACGUAGGGAAACUUACGCUAAUACCGCAUGCGCCCUUCGGGGGAAAGCCGGGGACCUUCGGGCCUGGCGCGAUUGGAUGAGCCCAUGUCGGAUUAGCUAGUUGGCGGGGUAAUGGCCCACCAAGGCGACGAUCCGUAGCUGGUCUGAGAGGAUGAUCAGCCACACUGGAACUGAGACACGGUCCAGACUCCUACGGGAGGCAGCAGUAGGGAAUAUUGGACAAUGGGCGCAAGCCUGAUCCAGCCAUGCCGCGUGAGUGAAGAAGGCCCUCGGGUUGUAAAGCUCUUUUGUCCGGAAAGAAAAGCGCCGGGUUAAUACCCUGGUGUCCUGACGGUACCGGAAGAAUAAGCACCGGCUAACUUCGUG
rnacentral:rRNA from 1 species